CACUAAGAAGCUAAAUGGUUAGCACUAGCCUUUUAAGUUAGAAUUAGGGGAUUAACACCGACCUCUCCCCCUUAGUGA